UCUCUGUUUCACAGACGAGGACAUCUACACAGGGAAGUUAUGUAACUUGUCUAAGGCUGCACAGGGAACGAGUGGUGUAGUCAGAGUCUGAAUCCAGGGUCCUCUCUGCUGUUGGCUGUGCUCAUCCCUGCCACUCUGCCUUCUCCUGAGCCAUGCUUCCUCAUCAGUUAUGUUUUCUCCAACUCCUUGCCAUUCAUCGGAAUCUUCUUCUGCUCUGAGGUUGAGCACACAUCUCAGCGCAAAGGUGUGAAGGAAGAGCAGCACCUCCAGGUCAAGUCCAGCAAACAUAAUCAACUCUCAGUCAUUUGGUGCUUCAUUGGCUGGAACUCCCCCUCAGCCAG